ACCGCCCCGCGUGCUCCCGCCCCUCGUCCCGCGGCGGCCAACCGCUAGGCCAGACGCCGUACAAACGAAAUGAAAACGUAUGCUCACAUGAAAAUCUAUACAAAAAAACUUACAGCACUUCCACUCCUCAGACCCAAAAACUGGAGACAACCCAUUCCUACAAUUGAAUGAAUGAACAAAGCAAUGGUACCUUCACACAGUGGGAUCCUACACAACAAAACGGGAUGAGCUCUUGUGGAUGCGCAACGUGCAUGAGCACAGGUGAAUAUUUCUCUUCCCCGAAGAUUCUCAGCAACAGUCAGUGCGAUGCCCGGGGGAGAGCAUGGGUCUGCUUCCCGUCCGUCCAGUCUUCAUAUCGUCCGAUGGAGAUGCCACCUGACUCAGGCACUCUGAGUUACUGGUGUGGAUUUUUAAAAACAAACAAACAACAGAGAAGCAAACAACCAAACAACCGCCCUCACUUGGCCUCUGUCUUACCGAGUGAGACUGACUAUGUGAUUUCAAAGGGUCAAGUAAGAGCACCCUCCCUUCCCGAGGGGGUGAUGCGGGUGGGAGCGGGGGAGGGGGGAGGCACAAGGAAAGUAUUGCUUCUGUCUUUUCCUUGUGUUUUUCUAGAAGAAAAGCCUCUUUGCUUCGUAUAUACAUAUACACACAGAAACCACCCCACAAUUAGAAUCUCAAGAACUGCAGGAAAGAAAACUUAGAGAGAAUGUUAUUUUUCCAAUAAAAGAUAGAUGUGAUCUGG